UGCCCCGGUUCAUGGUUCCUGCAAGCCC
rnacentral:piRNA from 1 species